rnacentral:rRNA from 1 species
UACGGAGGGUGCAAGCGUUGUUCGGAAUUAUUGGGCGUAAAGCGCGUGUAGGCGGCUAUUUAAGUCUGAUGUGAAAGCCCGGGGCUCAACCUCGGAAGUGCAUUGGAAACUGGAUAGCUUGAGUACGGCAGAGGGGGGUGGAAUUCCACGUGUAGCAGUGAAAUGCGUAGAUAUGUGGAGGAACACCGAUGGCGAAGGCAUCUUACCAGAACGGCUUCGACAGUGAGGGACGAAAGCUGGGGGAGCAAAC